CCAAGGAAUAGUUUCUAUCUUUUUUUAUCCUCUCCUUCUUCCCUGUUAAUGUUCAAGGACUGGGCUAGAAAACAUUCUGAUACAAAGACAAAAUGGGCCUAAAUUAAAUUUUAAAAAAAUCCACAAGAAAAUAUACUAUGGUAGUGUUAUGGUGGUUACUUUCAAUGUUUGGAACCUUUCUGAAGACAGCCAGGGAGAGGCUUCCUCAAAGCUCUCCAUUGCACAAUACUUUCCAUAUGAUGUCUAUGACUCUGGAAUGGGAAGGACUCAUAAAUCUUUAACAAAUUGAAUCCUGCACAGAAUUCACAGGACACUUAAGAGAAGCACAAAAUCAGAGUAGCUUAUAAACCUGACCUAAAUAACCAACAGUGAACCUUAAGGUACACAGAAAGUGUCUAUGGGUAACAAAGUUGGCAGAAGAGCUUGCAAAUGUAUUCUAAAUACCAAUCUAUCCUACUUCUUCUAAUAACCUUCUGAAUCUAUCAGCAUGGGCCAGGGAAGUCUCUCUUUACAACAUAUAUAUUCCAGUAGGAUUCUGAAUCUUAGUCAAAGUAGUAGGAGCUGAAGACAAAAUUGGAAGUGGAAGAAAAUUCUGAACUAAAAUUGUGGCCUUAAAACAAACUUGUUAUACUUUCAGUUUGCUACUGGCAAAUGUAAUAUCAUUUGUACCACGUUCUUUCUGUGAAAAGCUAAUAAAGGAGAGCUGGAAGUGCCUGUGGCUGGCACUGCCUGUGUGAGAAUGACCCCAUGCCCAAAUUCCAGAGGAUACUAAGAGUGGCAUGACUUGGCACAGCAAUCACUGCCAUUUCCUCUGAAGAAGCUGCUACUUCUGUUCUUCUUCUGUUGUGGCUGCUGUGGUUUUUAGGAGGAGUGUUGAGCAGAGCAGAGCCAUGUGCAGGCACUGGGCAGAGGUGUGUGCUGCUCCACAGCCCCGCCCUGGGGACAACAGCUGGGACAGGGGACAGCCGUGGCCUGCCGGUCUCCCAGGGGUAUGCAGGGACAUCCAGGGACAUCCUCAGCCUGCCUGUGCAGCUGCAUCAGAUGGGUGGUCAAGGGAACUGUUCAGUGCCUCUCCCUCAUGGCUGAGGAUUUAAACUCUAAUUUAAAUUCGACAUUAUAUUUUAAAUGGCCAAAUACCUCUGUAGUCGUAUAGACCAUCCACUUCAGUGCAUAACAAUAUGUUUUAUUAUUCUUUCAGUAGGACAUUAAGCAUUUAGAAUCAAAUGCUGUCUUAAACUCAUUGCUGGCUAGAGGUAGUUCCGACAUGGCUUCCUAAAUUUGGACUACAAUGCGAAGAGGAAACUGCAACUUUUUUUUUUUUCAUUUGCCUUUGGCAAGGAUUGGAGAGGGUAGCUGAUGUAAAAGGAACUAUAUAGAAACAGGAACCUGAGUCUGAAGCAAAUGGUGCAUUAAAAUGACUUCAUUAUGAGCUGUUGUUAGCCUACCUCUUUCCAGAAUAUGUCUCCACAAUAACAUUCCAGUGAUUGAUAAAGAAAAAAUUAUGUAGAAUCAAAAUAAAUGCUUGAUAUGCAGCAAUGCAGCAGAAAAUGAUUGGCAAAUGCACUGCACAAAUAGUCUGGUGAGAAUAUUAUUUCUGUAAGCUUUGAACAAGCUAAUAAUUGGGACCAUUUUCAACCAUGCCUAGGUGAGCCCUUGGUUGUUUUUGAGGUAAGUUAUGUUCAUCCUUGCACCUUGAAGUCAACCCAAGAAAAAUAUGUUUUGAAUUAGCCAAUAAUCGAAACACUUAAUGAUAAAACCUCUCACUGAUCAUGCUGGUUGUGCAGCUUUGUACAAACAUUUAUUUUUCCAGUGACUGAUGUGUAUUGAACGUGGCUGACUGUUCUGCUCUCUUGCUUGCUUUGCUUCUCAAGAGUCUCUUGUUCAUCUGUUGUGCAAACACUCUUAAGUAUCUCUUCUGAUCUGUGCUCCUAAGAGUUGCUGCGACUCCCCAAAGCUCUCCAUUGCACACUUGUUGCUCCCUUUAUAUCUUCUCUGUAACUGUUAUGCAACAAGAGAAAUUUAAUAGUGUGAUUGAAGCUGUGCCAUCCCAUUGCUUUUUUGAAAAGGAGUUACUGAGGUUCGAGAGGGCUCAGGGAGUUAGUGGUGUGACUGUGUUUGGUGCUUUAUGUUAGGUGAUUGCAUAUGACUCCAAUUGUGGUUGUCAUCCUUAAAACUAUUUUUAAUGAUUUACUGAAGUUAAGGGAGACAAAAAAUAAGAAUGUAGCUGAAGAAUCUGACGUAUAAAACACAAAAUGUGGUUUUGACACAUUUUCUGUAAAAAAUAAUUUCCUUCCAGCAGAGAAAAAAGUAAUUUUAAGUAAGGAGAAUCACUUGUUUGGUAUUAAAAGUAGUACAAAUAGUGCAUUUGGGGAGGAAAAAAAGAGAAGUUUGUUUACAUCGUUUGGAGUUUAUUUUUGAAGUUUGAUCCUGCUUCCUUUUAGAUAAAGCAAGACCUGAAUACACCAAUAAGAAGUGUAAGGGUGGAAAAAUGUCAUGAUGGUUUUCACUUAUAGCUCGCUGUGGGAAGGCCUGGACCCAGCUCUUGGUUUCAAGAAACACUUGUGGAAAUGGAAAGCUUUUACCAGCAUCAGGCUGCUGAAGACAUUGCUCCUAUGUGGUCUCUGUAGGAUCUGCAGCAGCAGCAGCCGAGCUUUGUGUCUGUAGCUUGCAAGGACCUGGGACUGAGUUUUCCUAGGGGCUGGUGUCUCUUCUGGAUGUCUCACCCUGCCUGGUGCUCUUUGUAAACUCUGUCAGGAGUCCUCGCAGCCAAGGCCUGCCCAGGAAGCCUUUGAGGCUGAGGGACCAGCCCUGGUCUGUGCUCCUUCCCGUCGCGUUCGUUCAGUGCCAGCAGCAGCACUGCCAGCUGAGGAGACCUGCCCUGAGGAGACCUGCCCUGAGGAGACCUGCCCUGAGGAGACCUGCCCUGAGCCCGGCUGCUCCUGACAUUUCUGCCUUUCUUCCCACCACUGCAUGCGUUUCUGAAACACCUCGCUGAAAUCAAUCCUGCUUAUCCUCUGUGUUUUCUCUCCGGCUUGUGGUUGCUUGUGUUUGUAACUCUACAAAAUAAGCUGGACAUAUCCCUUUCACACCGUGGCACUUGGGGAAUGGGUGCUGUGUAAUUGCACUUUCCGGCUGCAAGGGGGGUCCCUGAAAACAGUUCUUUAUCUUUACUCAAGGCUUACUUUCCUGCUGUGGCUUAAAUACUGCUGCUAUGACAGGAGUGACUUCCACGGUGGCAGCGGGCUGUUUUCGUGCUGGCUGUGUGACACUCCACGGCCCGUGCUGGCAGAGCGGGACUCGUUGUGUGGCAGCAGCCGUGACCAGCCGGGUUCCCGGUGUGGAAAGUGAGGCUGUAGGGCCCUCUGGUGGGAGCAGGGCAGCGUCCCUGCCUGUGUGCCGUGCCUUUGCUCCGGGGCUGCGCUGCCCGGCGCCGCCGCCUUCUGCGUGGGGCUGGAGGCCUUGUGUGACAGCGCGGGCAGCUUCCUCAGCCCUCAAAUCUGACUGCUGCCUGCAAGCCUGGAAACCAGACGGGUUUGUAUUUAUAAACUUCAUCCCGCGGCUGCUGACCUCUUUUGCUGACAUGCUGUCCCUGAUUUUUCAGAGUGCUUUUUUUCUUUACCCUAGUCAAGGAUGCCAACUCCUAAACCCGGCCUCUUCGCUCCAUUCAUCUAGGCCUUGCAGGGUGGCACUUUACCCAUAUGUGAUGGAGUUAAGUCUAUGACAUGGUCAUGCCAUGAUCUGGGGACCUGCAGCAUCCCCUCCUCUCUUCCAGCUUCUGCUCAUAGCUCCUCAACCCCUAACCCAGCUGUGCUCCCACCAAGGACGAAUGUGGCUCUAUGCCUCACCUCCUUGAACAUGCCCUCUUCUCUCUGCUACAUAGGUCGUGGCUCAGAAAGGCUCUGCCGUGGCUUUCUGGAGGUUUUAAACACUUUCUGCAUCUUUGUGCUUGCUUCAAGGAAGGGGAGGCCUCACCUCGGCGUGGAGUGUUCUCCGUGUGUUUACAGGAGCUGGGAGCUGGCUGGGAGCAGUGAAAGAUGCUGGAUGGGGCCCACAGGGAGGAAGAAUUAGGCAGGCUGCUGCUUUCCGUCAGAUCUGGGGACAGGAGAUGUCAGGUUUUAGCUCCUGAGCAUGCCUGAAGAGUCAGUGAGCGGAGCUGGCCCUGGUUUCACUCUGGGCAGGCGGUGGCAGGAGCUGGAUGUUGGAUCCUUUGUACAGAACCAAAUUCAGGCAGCUGAUGGAGUGGUGACAAGUAAUUCCAGAAUCUUUCACCCAAGCUUGCCGAGCUCCCCAGCACAAGACUUUCAUGAUGAUCAACCCAAGGGUAUUUGAGUAUCUUACUCUGUCUCUUUUAGUCACAUCCAGGAGUUCUGGACCUUUUCCUAUAGAUCAAGAUCCAUUUCUGACAUCAAACACUCUUUGGGGAAGGAUGAUUCCUGUUUGCUGUUCAGCACUCUGACAGCUGAAUGGUAUAAGAACAAAGCAAAACAGCAAUCAACCUAUCUAAAACUCAGGUUAGGAGAAAGAUAAUUGUCAUUGUUAUGCUAUUUUUAUUGCUAAAUUGGUAGGUGUUUGCAUAUUUUCAUCUUCUCAUCUCAGUCUGUAUCUACCUCUCCUGUCACAGCUUUAUGACCUCAGGCAUCCCAUCUAUUUAGCAGUAACAGACUCCUAAAUUACAUUCCAGUAACACAUUUUCUUUAAUACAUACAGUUAAAACUUUAUGCUGCAGUUAUCUCAAAUGUGUAACUUAGUAAUACAUAAAUCAAUGAAGAAAAUUCUUGGAAUUAGUUACAUUACUGCAAAAUCUAAGAACCAAAAAUAUUAGUAGUGAGAUACUGUGAGUAUACUUGGAAAAUAAAGCAUGUAAUUAAACCCCAAUUUCAGAAUAAUUUAUAUGAGUUUUUAUCCUUCUAAGAUUACUUUCUGAGCUUCCAUUUAAAUUUUUUUCUGAUGUCCAAAUGACUGAUUUGGAUUAAUUUUUCAUGCAGAAAUAGUCAAACUCAUAAAUGAGUGUGGGCCAGUGUUGUAGUCAGAACUUUUAUUGGUUUAAAGUGUUAUAAAUGUGUUCUAAAAUCUACUUCACCCUAACACAGAGAGUUUGCUGCUUUUUCUAGAUAAAGGAUUGCCUGAAUAUUCCCUCCUUGCCACUGUUUUGGGAGGCUGUAGAAGCUAAAGAGAUGUCUUUUACAAGAAUUGAUGAAAAUUGUCAAGCCAUUGAUAAUUUGGAGAGGAAUGGUUCAAGAGAGGAUGUUAUUUUUAAUAAGAAAAUCUGCUGGCUUUGUAUGGAUUUACAAGGCUUUUAGGAAAAAACCCUGAGUUUUGGCAGAAUAUGUUAUCCUUGCCAUGGAAUCCAUGAAAACAGAAACUUUGAGCAUGAGGUUUUAUCAUUUAAAGUAAUGCUGGGUAGGAGUGUGCUGAGAAUUCUGAGGGGAAUGAAGCCUAUAAAUGUUCAGAGCACUGAACUGCCCUGUGUGUGCAGCUGAUGUGGACCCUGACCCUCACAAACUGGAAUUAGGGGCCAAAAGACAGCAAAGGCUUCAUCAUCUCCAUCAAGAAAUAUGGAUCACAAGAUCUGGGGCUAGCACAGGACCUCAGUAAAAACCUAGCAAUUUUACACCAGAACCUGUUGCUUCCUCUCUGAAUUGUCUUGUUUGUGAGAUUACCACAAACUAAAUUUAAAAAAUAAAUCUUUAGUUUAUUAUGUGGUCUGCUAAACAUAAAAUCUUGGAUUCUAAAAAAGUGACAUGACUUAGGAGUCAGUGCUAUUUGAAUUAGCAUAAAACUGUAGGAAGAAGGAUCAGGCAGUCUAUUGCUCUGGGGGCAGUAAUUUACAAUACUGCAAAAUCCUAAAUCUCUAUAGUUCUCAUAGAGUCUUACAUUUAUUUUGUGUGAUGUGUAAGGUAUUAGAAGAAGAAACUCAAUUUACCUUAAUUCCAUUCUCUCCCUUCAGGACAAAGGGUGUUUUGAAUUCACAUAACAUUUUAGUCAAAGCACAAAGUGGAAAUCAAACAGAAUUUAAUUUUCAAAGCAUCCUUUGAACUGUACACUGAGGUCCUGUGCUAGCUCCAUGUCUUGUGAUCUGUAUCUGUUGCAGAAGGAAUUGCACUUACAGAGCUGACAAAAUAUUUUGUUAUUUCUUUCUGCAAUAAAUUCUUUGUUAUGCCUGCUUUACACCUAAAAGGCAAUGGCAAAACUUUAAGAGUCCUGUUGGUCUUAUUCCACCUUAUGCCUUGCUGGCAAAAUCCCCAGUUUUCCAGGCUGCUGGUAGUAAUUUGUGUGCCCUUUUCAGCCACCCCAAGUGUUUAGAGUUGCAUUCCAAAUCCAUGGUUGUAAUGAAGAUCCAAGUUUUGGAGCUGUUCCAUAUAUUUGUGUAUAUUUAGAGCCAGCACAGCAAAGGUUUAAAAGUGUGUCUAAAUCAAAAUAUGGCAAGGCAGCACCACCCUCCAGAGAUUCUGGAGCUGUCUCAGAACAAGUGAAUGCUGUGCUGGAAGCAGGAUAGCCAUGGCAGCACAGUGUCUGCCGGGGACACCUUAGCUCUCUUGGGGACAUUUAUGUUACACGUGUUACAAUGCUUUUGGAAUCUGGCACAUUCCCUGAUCAUUCCCACUUAUUUGCUCAGAGCUAGUCUAGGUACUGCUGUAAAGCCCUGUGGGAUGAUUUCUGUGGAUGUAUUCUCCCUCCUACACCCCAAACAUAAACUAUGUAUUAUAGGGCUAAAGUGAUAUUUCUGUCUGAUUUUCAGCAUUUCACCUUAGAACAUGCAAUCCUUCACUGUUGAAAUUAGUUCAUGUUUCAGUGUUGAUUUCCACUGGGGAAAAACCAAGGAUCCCAGCAGUGUCACUGCAAUAUUACUUCAAGAUACUGGUAGGUAGCUGCAGGCAGUGUGAUUUGGAAGAACAAAUUUGAGCAGACAGGGGUUAGAUCAAUAUCUGAAGGAUGAUUAUCUCGGUCAGCACAGUAUUUUCCAUAGCCUAAUACAAUCCACACAAUCUCUAAAUAUAUCACAGACUGUGAAAUUUCAAUUCCUCUCCUGUCAGCCUGUUCAUGUGAAGAUGGAUGACAUGCCUGAUGAAGACAAGGGCCUGAUCCUGCUGCUGUUGAAGUAACUAAUGAAUCACUCAUUAACUUCAGAGAAUCCCCGAAAGAAUCAAAUUGCUCAUUUAAACAGAGGUAGCAAGUUCUUUACAGUUGUAAUGGGUUCACAGCAGCUGCAUGUACAUAGGCCUUCUCUGCAAGGUUUUGGGAAUUAAAAAACAGACCGGAAAGAAAUGAAGAUGAUUCUCAGAAUGGGAGGCUGCUAUUUUAGACAGCCCUUGACUAGGACAGACAGCACAGGAACUCUGUGAAAGCUCUUUAUUGCAACACUUUUUUGUGGGGAUGUGUGCUCUCAGCUGUAUGCACUGCACCCUCUCACCUAUGGCCAGGUGUGUGCUCAGAGCAGGGGGGCAGCAAAAUAUUCAUCUGGGAUGACAUAAAGUUAAAGAAUGAGAAUAAUGGAAAAAAUUUGGCUUUCACAUUGAGAAUUUUCCCUGACACUCAGCUGUGUUUCUGCAGGAAAGGAGACCAUCAGGACUGAGGACUCAGACACCCAGGUGUCCAAGGAGAUAUUUCUCUUGAUACAGGUAAAAUUAACCAGAAGAGAGGUAUUCAUACUUUUCCUCUUGCGUAUUUGAUAAGAAGAAGCAGGAGAGUUGGUGUGUUUCUCAGGUAAGGUCUCUGAAGUUUUGGGCUCACAGCUCAAGCCCAUCAACCCAUGGCGUCUCUGAGGCUGCAGGUUCUGUGUGAUGGGUCAGCUCAGAGCACAGAUGAGGCAGAUGUGUGUUCCUCCCUAAUCACUCAUAACUUAUGUCAACCUAAUUCAUCUAGGUAAUCUUCAGUUAUCUGAGUUCUCUCUGAUUUGAUCUUUCUUUAAUCUGUCACCAGGUUGGCUGCAGUGGAUUACCAUGGGUUUGCUGUCUGUUGAGAGCCAGCUGUGCAGGUAUUCCUAUAGAAUGUGAACUGCCAGCUUCCUGAAUUUAUUCUUCCUGAUUCUUCCUGAAGAAUUUUAUCCUCUAUAUCUUCUACAUGAGAUCCCCCAACCCUUCCUAGUCGCUCUAAUCCCCUGCCUACAACUUUCAUGACUUCCCUGCUGGUGAAAAGCAGAUCUAAAAGAGCCUGUUUUCCAGAUGUGUUUUCUAAAAUUUACCCACAACAACUGCUGGGGAAUCUGGGGGAGAUUCCCUAAACCAAACAGAGAUGUAUGUGAGUAAACGAAUGUCAGGACAGAUCACGGUCCAUUUUUUUUAAUGUAUUUAUGUA